rnacentral:piRNA from 1 species
UGUUAAGAGCUGACUUAAUGGGGCUCUCAA